rfam:Oryza brachyantha chromosome 2, whole genome shotgun sequence.
AUACCUUUCUCGGCCUUUUGGCUAAGAUCAAGUAUCUGUUUUUAUCAGUUUAAUAUUUGAUAUUUGAUACGUGGGCUAUGUGCUCACUGUGAUAUUAAAUUUAUUUUUUAUGGGAGAGAGCCGAUCACAUUGGCUUGCCAAGUCGUUGCACUGCUGUCCUGGCCUGGCGCACCCCAGUCAAAACAACGUUUA